AUUGAACGCUGGCGGCAGGCUUAACACAUGCAAGUCGAGCGGAGAUGAGGUGCUUGCACCUUAUCUUAGCGGCGGACGGGUGAGUAAUGCUUAGGAAUCUGCCUAUUAGUGGGGGACAACAUUCCGAAAGGAAUGCUAAUACCGCAUACGUCCUACGGGAGAAAGCAGGGGAUCUUCGGACCUUGCGCUAAUAGAUGAGCCUAAGUCGGAUUAGCUAGUUGGUGGGGUAAAGGCCUACCAAGGCGACGAUCUGUAGCGGGUCUGAGAGGAUGCUCCGCGACACUGGGACUGGGACACGGCCCGGACUCCUACGGGAGGCAGCAGUGGGGAAUGUUGGACAAUGGGGGGAACCCUGAUCCGGCCAUGCCGCGUGUGUGAAGAAGGCCUUUUGGUUGUAAAGCACUUUAAGCGAGGAGGAGGCUACUAGUACUAAUACUACUGGAUAGUGGACGCUACUCGCAGAAUAAGCACCGGCUAACUCUGUGCCAGCAGCCGCCGUAAUAC
rnacentral:rRNA from 1 species